UGCUUGAUGAUGACUGUCUCCUAUGAUUGCUUUUGUAACAGCAAAGUGAAUAAAUAAUUUCACCGGCACUGAAAGUA
rnacentral:snoRNA from 1 species